rnacentral:rRNA from 1 species
GAUGAACGCUGGCGGCGUGCCUAAUACAUGCAAGUCGAGCGAACGGACGAGAAGCUUGCUUCUCUGAUGUUAGCGGCGGACGGGUGAGUAACACGUGGAUAACCUACCUAUAAGACUGGGAUAACUUCGGGAAACCGGAGCUAAUACCGGAUAAUAUUUUGAACCGCAUGGUUCAAAAGUGAAAGACGGUCUUGCUGUCACUUAUAGAUGGAUCCGCGCUGCAUUAGCUAGUUGGUAAGGUAACGGCUUACCAAGGCAACGAUGCAUAGCCGACCUGAGAGGGUGAUCGGCCACACUGGAACUGAGACACGGUCCAGACUCCUACGGGAGGCAGCAGUAGGGAAUCUUCCGCAAUGGGCGAAAGCCUGACGGAGCAACGCCGCGUGAGUGAUGAAGGUCUUCGGAUCGUAAAACUCUGUUAUUAGGGAAGAACAUAUGUGUAAGUAACUGUGCACAUCUUGACGGUACCUAAUCAGAAAGCCACGGCUAACUACGUGCCAGCAGCCGCGGUAAUACGUAGGUGGCAAGCGUUAUCCGGAAUUAUUGGGCGUAAAGCGCGCGUAGGCGGUUUUUUAAGUCUGAUGUGAAAGCCCACGGCUCAACCGUGGAGGGUCAUUGGAAACUGGAAAACUUGAGUGCAGAAGAGGAAAGUGGAAUUCCAUGUGUAGCGGUGAAAUGCGUAGAGAUAUGGAGGAACACCAGCGGCGAAGGCGACUUUCUGGUCUGUAACUGACGCUGAUGUGCGAAAGCGUGGGGAUCAAACAGGAUUAGAUACCCUGGUAGUCCACGCCGUAAACGAUGAGUGCUAAGUGUUAGGGGGUUUCCGCCCCUUAGUGCCGCAGCUAACGCAUUAAGCACUCCGCCUGGGGAGUACGACCGCAAGGUUGAAACUCAAAGGAAUUGACGGGGACCCGCACAAGCGGUGGAGCAUGUGGUUUAAUUCGAAGCAACGCGAAGAACCUUACCAAAUCUUGACAUCCUUUGACAACUCUAGAGAUAGAGCUUUCCCCUUCGGGGGACAAAGUGACAGGUGGUGCAUGGUUGUCGUCAGCUCGUGUCGUGAGAUGUUGGGUUAAGUCCCGCAACGAGCGCAACCCUUAAGCUUAGUUGCCAUCAUUAAGUUGGGCACUCUAAGUUGACUGCCGGUGACAAACCGGAGGAAGGUGGGGAUGACGUCAAAUCAUCAUGCCCCUUAUGAUUUGGGCUACACACGUGCUACAAUGGACAAUACAAAGGGCAGCGAAACCGCGAGGUCAAGCAAAUCCCAUAAAGUUGUUCUCAGUUCGGAUUGUAGUCUGCAACUCGACUACAUGAAGCUGGAAUCGCUAGUAAUCGUAGAUCAGCAUGCUACGGUGAAUACGUUCCCGGGUCU